rnacentral:rRNA from 3 species
UCAAAUCAGGUAGGACUACCCGCUGAACUUAACAUAUCCA